rnacentral:lncRNA from 1 species
AUUUCAUAUGUGCAAAAGGAAUAUGACCAAGUCGCAAGUGCCAAAUGUAAUUCAUAUCAGAAUUCAAAUCAUUAUUACAAUUGACACUGGUUACAUGUAAGGAAGAUGAAACAGUUUUAUUAUCAGACAGAAUUGUAUCAUUACAAGUAAUAGGCAUAGAAGACAAAACAGUAAACUUGCUAGUAUCACAAGAAGUAGAAGCAGAACAAACAGAACUUGUUGAAGAGAGGGAAGGUGAAGGAGGGACCCAUGUCAGCUUAUACAAGCCAUAUAGAAGCAGAACAAACAAAACUUGUUGAAGAGAGGGAAGAUGAAAGAGGGACCCAUGUCAGCUUAUACAAGCCAUCAGUUUGGUUACCAAGAUCCAGUGGCUUCUUCAGAGAAGGGCCCUGUAACAUUUGGAGGAAACAUGAAUGUUCAGAGAACAAGACUAUACAAUGUAAUUCCUUCACCAACUUAUGGACAGAAAUUAAGUUGUGUGUAAAAGAAGGAAUUAACAGUACAUUAUGAAGAACAAUAGAAGAAGUCAAUUGAAAGGAGCCAAUGCAAGUUACUUUUACUUUGUAACCAUUAGGAAGGGUCACAAGAUAAGGAACAGAUAAAGGUGUAAGGUUAAACUUAUGGACAGAAAUUAAGUUGUGUGUAAAAGAAGGAAUUAACAGUACAUUAUGAAGAACAAUAGAAGAAGUCAAUUGAAAGGAGCCAAUGCAAGUUACUUUUACUUUUUAACCAUUAGGAAGGGUCACAAAAUAAGGGACAGAUAAAUGUGUAAGGUUAAAAAGUAGUUGUUUGUUAUCGGUCAUAUGAUUAGAUGCACCAGAAUCUAUUAUCCAAGACACAGAAUUAAU